UUCCUCAUGGCCCAAUGGUCAAGGCGUCUGGCUACGAAAGUAUCCAAUCUGUUGAAACCAGAAGAUUCCAGGUUCGACUCCUGGUGGGGAAG
rnacentral:tRNA from 1 species